CAGGAGAGACAAGCAGUGUAUAGUAAGGUCGAGAGAUAACGGUGACACUCUCAGAGCAUUGGCACAGUCGAUCCUAUCGUUAGGAAAAUGUAACGUUGUGCCUCUCUUAUGUCUUGCAACAAAUGGGAGCUUGCAACAAAUGAGCAGGGCGAACAGCCCGAUACCAGCAACAGUUCUGCUGACUUUAAUCAGUCAGCAGAACAGAUACGAUCUGCAAUCGCAAAAUAUUGUGUAGACCCACUUCCAACAGAUCAUUUUGAAAUUUCGUUUGUGUGCUGAUUAGGUCCUGCACCAUCUUCUCCUGCCUCACGUCGUGCUCUUCCUUCUUUCUGUGGUGGUCCUUCUGUUCUUCGAGACGUUCCCGGGCGAUCUCUGCAAGCCACGAAAUGUCGGUCUUUUUCUUUUUCUUUGACGGACGCCCAGACAAGGUGCUGGAGCUACAAGAUCCGUCCA